rnacentral:rRNA from 1 species
GACGAACGCUGGCGGCGUGCUUAACACAUGCAAGUCGAGCGGUAAGGCCCUUUCGGGGGUACACGAGCGGCGAACGGGUGAGUAACACGUGGGUGACCUGCCUUUAGCUCUGGGAUAAGCCUGGGAAACUGGGUCUAAUACCGGAUACGACUCCGCGGUGCAUGCUGUGGGGUGGAAAGCCUUGUGCGGCUGGAGAUGGGCCCGCGGCCUAUCAGCUUGUUGGUGGGGUGAUGGCCUACCAAGGCGACGACGGGUAGCCGGCCUGAGAGGGCGACCGGCCACACUGGGACUGAGACACGGCCCAGACUCCUACGGGAGGCAGCAGUGGGGAAUCUUGCGCAAUGGGCGAAAGCCUGACGCAGCGACGCUGCGUGAGGGAUGACGGCCUGG